rnacentral:sRNA from 1 species
UGCAAAAUCAAAAAUUAAUAUAUUAAAACAUAGGAUUACUAAAGAUUUUUUUUUUUUUCUGAUUUGAGCGAAAAUACUAACCAACCGUAUGCUGCCACGUCACCUGAUACUGAGUAUUAAAGGUAUCAGUCCACUGAUAUCGAUCAGGCCCAAAUUCAUAGUUUGAUUAAUUAAAAUAUGAUUUUUGGGCUACUGAUACCCAAAAUAAAUAACCCAUGUACAUGAUCUUACAUCAUU